rnacentral:lncRNA from 1 species
CUGAACUAGGCAGAUCUGUAUCUCUCAGUUGUUAGCAAAUAACAUACAAAAAUUUGUACAUAUAUACAAAUAUAUACAAGUAUUUGUAUAAAACUGAAUACUCAUGAUUUUAAAUUUGACAAAUAUCAUCAGGUAAAAAGCAGACUAUCAUACUGAGUUAAUUUUUCUCUCAAUGUUCAACCUGAAAUAGAAGUAUAUUUUACAUAAGAUCCUAACAAAAAGGUUAAUACAAGUAAGCCACGAACAUUGCAAAUUUAACCGCUUGAUUAGAUUGAGAAGGAAUGGAAUAACUUCUAGUAUCAUGUAGAGAAACAAGCAAUCAAAGCACAUGAUUCUGAAAAAAUGGAGUUAUCCUCAAUGGGUCAUAAUCAGCACCUGAGGAAAGCAAUUCCACUACUUUCACUUAAAGCGAAUCACUCUUUCAAGCACACUGUAGCUCACGCAGAAAAGCACUUCUUCCAGGAGUACUUGUUUAAGCAGAUCCCUUUGUACAAAAAUGAAACAAAUCAAAUCCUUGCAUUCAGUAAAAGUUGAAGGUUUAAGGUGAGGACAUUUCCUAAGCCCAUAGGCUUGCUAAAAUCAUCCACAUGGCUGAUGUAAUGCUGAUGCUUUUUCUUCAGAAAAAGCAGUUCAACCGGGAUGGUAGAUGGCAGAGAAAUCAGUGGGUGACACAUGGAAAUACCAACAGGGGGAGCAUUUUUAG